rnacentral:rRNA from 1 species
GGGGAAUAUUGGACAAUGGGGGGAACCCUGAUCCAGCCAUGCCGCGUGUGUGAAGAAGGCCUUAUGGUUCUAAAGCACUUUAAGCGAGGAGGAGGCUCUUUUGGUUAAUACCCAAGAUGAGUGGACGUUACUCGCUGAAUAAGCACCGGCUAACUCUUGGCCAGCAGCCGCGGUAAUACAGAGGGUGCGAGCGUUAAUCGGAUUUACUGGGCGUAAAGCGUGCGUAGGCGGCUUUUUAAGUCGGAUGUGAAAUCCCCGAGCUUAACUUGGGAAUUGCAUUCGAUACUGGGAAGCUAGAGUAUGGGAGAGGAUGGUAGAAUUCCAGGUGUAGCGGUGAAAUGCGUAGAGAUCGAGAGGAAUACUCAUUGCGAAGGCGACCUGCUGGAACAUUACUGACGCUGAGGUGCGAAAGCGUGGGGAGCAAACA